CACUAGUGCUUCUAAAUUUCAUACAGAAGCCUGAAAGGACCUCUAGUAUUAAUGAAGAUCAUAUAGAGAAUAUAUUUGGCAAAAACACAGUGUGAUCAUGAUGCAUCUGUUAUCUGAAGUAAAAACUGAGGUCAGAAUUUUAAUAAAGAGUAUAUGAAUAUUUUUGCAUCUACAGAAUAGCAUAUGUCAGUUUUCAGUGCAACUGGAUCAAAAUUACUGCUACUGCCUACGCUGGUGAUGUAGACUGCAUGGUCUUCUCUCUCUAUUAGGCUGCUUUCUUUUGGGAGAAUAGCUGCUCUCCUUUGCCAUUCCUGGGCUGGCACUGCUCACCAGUCUCUGAGCAAGAAAUCCAAGCCAAACACCACGUCCAGUGGUUCCUGUCUGGAGAGGACAUGGGUCUUCCACAUUCAGCUGUAGUGAAGAAGA
rnacentral:lncRNA from 1 species